AUGCAUACGACGCGUAGAUUAUUAACGCACGAUACACAGUCACGAAUGAAUUGUUUGCCGUGCCGUCAUUACGAUCUGAUUCCGGCAACACGGAUUGUUGGUAAUUAAUGGCUGCGACUCAAUAUAUUCGCCACUAGCGCCACCAUACUGUCCUUUAUGCAACCGUUCCAUCGACGAAUUGAAUUAACGAAGUUGCAAUGCGCACAGUUAAUUUGAAACAGUUAUCUAUGCUGUGGGACGAUAAUUAAUUUAGACAGGGACAAAUUUCGCGUCCGUAGGAUGCAAAUUAUGCAGUAUCCCUUAGGACCAAGGACAUCUUGUCAAAUAUGUACAAGGUGGCGCAAUUGCAGAUGGCCUCGUUUUCCUCGAAACAAUAAGUCCCAAGGUACCCAAUGUUGAAAGGCUAAGAAAAUAUGACAAUGAGGCGGCACCUAACCUAACCUUUCGGUAUACUUUCCGUGAUCAUUGCCCAUCGUUACAGACAAGGUUAGUGUCACAUAAAAUCGAUUCUCUUAAAAUCAACGUUACCCUAAAAUGGAACUUAUCCGACGACGGAUCGUAUGACAACAACAUGU